rfam:Picea glauca, whole genome shotgun sequence.
AUGUACAUUCCUAUAGCAUAGCAUUAAUGCACCAGAUCCCAAUAGAACUCCAUAGUUAAGCUUGCUCAGGAUAGAGUAGUACUGGGAUGGGUGAUUGUCCGGGAAGUCCUAGUAUUUUACAUG